UAAAUUUUCUACACUAUCUCAAUCAGUACUGAUCUAAACUCUCUGAAGAAUGGCAAAUCGUCAAGAUGAGGAUGGUAGGUAUCAGGAAUUUGAGUCAUGGUUUCUAAAAAUAGGUAUUGGCAAUAUUAAAUUAUUAGUUCGAGGAAAGACAAUAAUCUGGUUAGUUUGGCAUAUGAGACAUCAGUAUUUGCUAGAAUAUUUUAGGUGUAGAGAAACUAUUAGAUAAGAACAAAGUUUGAAGAACUAAGUGCUCUGCAGAUUAUAGUUAAUAUAAAAGAGCUAAAUUUUUGUA
rnacentral:lncRNA from 1 species